GUAGUCUGCAACUCGACUACAUGAAGCUGGAGUCGCUAGUAAUCGCGAAUCAGAAUGUCGCGGUGAAUACGUUCCCGGGUCUUGUACACACCGCCCGUCACACCAUGGGAGUCAGUAACGCCCGAAGUCAGUGACCCAACCGAUCUGGAGGGAGCUGCCGAAGGUGGGACCGAUAACUGGGGUGAAGUCGUAACAAGGUAGC
rnacentral:rRNA from 1 species